rnacentral:rRNA from 1 species
UACGGAGGGUGCGAGCGUUAAUCGGAAUUACUGGGCGUAAAGCGCACGCAGGCGGUUUGUUAAGCUAGAUGUGAAAGCCCCGGGCUCAACCUGGGAUGGUCAUUUAGAACUGGCAGACUAGAGUCUUGGAGAGGGGAGNGGAAUUCCAGGUGUAGCGGUGAAAUGCGUAGAUAUCUGGAGGAACAUCAGUGGCGAAGGCGACUCCCUGGCCAAAGACUGACGCUNAUGUGCGAAAGUGUGGGUAGCGAACAGG